rnacentral:lncRNA from 1 species
CCUCAUGUCACAUUACAUUUUUCUUGAUAUACAUAUUUUAUUAUCCCGUGGCAACGCACGGAUACUAUACUAGUAUAAUAGUGAAAAUAAGCUCACAUAUUUUUUAAGAUUAGAUAUAAAAAAUAGCUCAAGGUAGUUAAGUACUGUUACUAUCUUUUUGGCUAAUGUUAGUACAGUAGGGCCAAAAUUAGUGUACAUGCGCAUAAAAUUGGUCGUGUCACGCGGGUAUUCAGCCCGCCGGAUAUUUUUUUAGCGAGCGCGCGCAGAAUUGGUUGUACGCGCGUAUUCAACUUGUCAGAUUUUUCUUAGGCCCUGUUUGGUUUCAAAUAAGUUACCAAUUUAUAAGUUGAAAAGUGCAAAAGAUGACUUAUUUUGCCAAACAGACUCAACUUAUAAGUCACCCCAACUUAUAAGUCAUAAGUUGCUCCACCCCAACUUAAAACUUAUAAGUCACCUACUUUUGCAUGGAAAGAUGAAUUAUAAAUCAGAUGACAACCAAACAUGCGUGACUUAUAAGUCACAGAAUUGGUCACGCGCGUAUUUAGCCUAUCCCUCAUGUGUACACGCGCUAAGGCCGUUUCCCCCAAAUCCACCGUUGUACACUUCCCCCAAAUCCCACCCCAGCGCCGAGAGCGCCGCCAGGGCGUCGCUGCCGCCGCCGUAGACUGGACUUCCCGCGGCUGCCAUUGCUGAGGUUGCCCCGCCGCCGCCGCCGGCGAGGGCCUUGACGGACCUGCCGCCCUCGACAGCUUCGGACGCAGGAGGCGGAGGGCUCCGUCGCCGCGACCGCGGCCCGACCUUGUCACCUUGGACGGAUCCUAUCCUGCCUCCUCGACCAAGACCAACCUGCCUUAGCUGUAGAUCGUACGUGUGCUUCAGCUUCACANN